CGCCCGCUCCUGCCAUGGCGGCGCUGCGGGACGUCUUUCGGCGGCCUUUCGGCGGCCCGCUCGCGGUGGGUUUCAGUUCCCCGGGCAGCGAGCCGACGGCAGCGGUGGUGUCCGUCAGCGCCUGUCCUGCGCCCCCGGCCUGCCGAAGAUCCCUUUGGAAGCGAAAAAACUGCUUUGAAGCAUCUAGGGGAAGCAGGCGGGAAUUUACUAUAAAUUUCUCACAGGUACAGCAGCUCUACAGAAGCAGCUUAAUUUCCCCCCGGCCGGCUGCAGGCAGUCAGCACAGCCACUCACCUCCGCGAGGCGCUGCCCCCCGAGCUCUGCUGCUGGCCGCGCUCGGUGCGGGACACGCGGUGCAGAAAGUGCCAUUUAGGAGUCUGCGCCAUACGGAUCGCGGGGCCAUUAUAAAGCCGGGCUGUGUCUGUGCUGUGCAUUCUCUGAGCUUGUUGGAGUGUGUUUGUUCACCUUUCUGUUUCGAGCGGUAGUGCGAAAAUCAUCGUUAACUUCAACACGCAUAAUUUGUGUUUCCUUUUCAGACCCUUUGUGGCGUAUCAUAAUGCUGGCCAAUCUCGUAUUUUUUCUUUGCCUGGCUAUUAAUGCUGCUUCUUAGCUUCUUCUCAUUCUCUAGUCAUACACGAUCCUGCCCCUCUGUGCUGUGGGGCCUCACCUGGAGUACUGCUUACAGAUGUGGAGUCCUCAGUACAGGAGAGACACGGACCUGUUGGAGGGUGUCCAGAGGAGGGCCACAAAAAUAAUCCCAGGGAUGGAACACCUCUCCUGUGAGGACAGGCUGGGAGAGCUGGGGCUGUUCAGCCUGGAGAAGGCACUGGGGAAACCUGAGAGUGGUCUUUCAGUAUCUAAAGGGGGGCUGUAAGAAGGAAGGGGACAGACUUUUUAGUAGGGUCUGUUGUGAAUUGGAAUUUCACACUUGGAAUUUCAUCACCCCAAUAGAAAUCAGGAGAGGGAAAUUGGUUUUGUGUGCCUCUGCAGAUAGGUCAGCAGUGGACAGGACCCAGUGACAGACAUAGAAGAGUUUGGUGCUUCUGACAACAGUGGAGCGUCGCUGAGGAUCCCAGAGCUGUGACUGCAGUUUUCCAAUUCGCAGGCUGUCUUGGCAGUAGAGGAAAUGUGAAGAAGAGCUAUGUGUCAUUUGAAUAGUGCUGUCAUCUUACCAAUUACUACUAUAGCUGCUGUACACAGGUGUUGCAAGGUCAUACCUUCACCCAUCCGAGGCAAAGACAUGAUGUUAUCUGCCUGAAAAUAUCUGUCUGGGCAAUCCUUCAACGAGACUUCUCCCACACAUCAAUCCAACUUUCUUUUUUCUCCUGUAACUUCUUGCUUCUUUCAUGUUGCACAAGAGGUUCCCUAAAACAUUAAUUUUUCCUCCUCCAGAUUCCUACACUUGAAUUGAAUAGAAUUUGGAGUGGUAUGAAGUGCCUCACACAGAGAAGAACCAGCAUUUUGAAGGACCUGCAGGUGCUGCUACCUGAAGGUUAGUUUAACAACUGAAAAUACUCUAUCGUGAAUGGCCUCAAUAUAUCAUUCAGAAGUUUGGAAGUUAGAUGUCCUGUUGAUGGAAGCUGUUUAGAAGUUAGAUGCCUGAAGCUUGGCAGCACUGCACACAAAACAGGAUGUUGCUGCCCACAGGUCCAGUGUCUCUAUCUUUGAGUGGCAGCAUUUGAUUUUUGCAGGGACAGUAAAGAGCAAGUGUUGCAGGGACUUGGUGUCUGAGCUGGGGGGAUAAUUACAUAUUUCUGCCCCCACCCAUAAUUAUCUCAGGAGGCAUUUCACCUCCAGGGUUUGGAAGACCUUUCUGUGUACUUGCGCUAGCACAGUGUGGAUGGGAAGAGGAAAACAACCAAGGCAGCCUGCACACAGAGCCUGAAUUAUUACCUGCCAGUGGGGCCAGCAGCUCUCACUGCUCUCCCAAGGCUGCAGAGCAGCAGGGAUGCUGCAUGGUGCUGGGUGGGACCACCUCCUGCAGCACGGCUGCUGCCUCACAUGGAGGGGGUAGGGGGGGGCGAAGCAGGACACUGCAAAGAUGGAGGGAGAAAAUGAGCUGUGCUGCUGCUGUGUGUGUGCCUGCCAGCCCUGGCCAUGCCUGCUGUCACACUUGGUUUUCCGUAAAAUUUGAUUGUUUUUGAUCACCGUUAUUGGUGUGAAAUGUUGUACCCUAAUAAGCUACCAGCAAAAUGCCUGUUGUCCUUAGCCCAACUGGAUCUAGCCAUUUAAAAUGCUUUAGAAGUCACAGCAUAAAUAUCAAAUGUUGAUAGACGCAAAGAAAUAAACUCUGGCAAUACCUGUGGUAUGCCUUCAACCAUAGUGGUGAAUAACAUUAAAAUCUCACUGCCCAGCACUCGUACCAAAAAUCAGGAUGCCUGUGUUUGGCUCACUUGUAGGCUGUGGCAACAUCAUAGUGUUCCCUCUUCAUGUGCCUAAUUCUUCACAUAGUUUGAGGACAAUAUGAACCAGAAUACAUGCAGUCCUUCACCUGUCUAUCACUACCUUCUUUCCUGCUCUCGGGAGAUACUGUUGAUCCUUCUUUCUCUUACAGAUUUGUCCAAACUUGUUAGCACUGGCAAAAGUAAUCUCCAUUUCCUCCUGGCUACUUGACAAAAGGAGGACAACAAACUUCUCUCUGCUGACUAGGAAUACAGUAAACAUUCAUGAUUUCAAGUAUGGUGAUAAGAGCGUAUUGCACCACAGUGCCAUCUCAUAGCAGUUUGUUCAGCUGAGCAUUCACUGGGCCAGCACAUCACCACUGUCAGCAUGCAAAUAAGCUCUCCCAUGCAGCUGAGAAUGAAGGCCAGAAGCCUGAAAAUAACCCAGCAAAGCAUGCCUGUUGUAAGGAAUGAGAGGUACUUGCCAACUUUUAAUCACUGGGCUUAGUGACUGGCAUGACAACAUUUUUCUGAUGGGGAAAUUAUUUACAGGCAGUUGGAAGGUCAGGAGGCUGUCUGAAACACUCAAUGGCAAAAUUAGAGUUAGCCUUUCAGUCAACCAUGUUGCUCAGGUACCUGCUUGGUGUUCCAGUGUUAACGUGCAGUACAUUCGAAGUGCAGCCACCUUCACUGUAUGUUUCAGUGUACAAAAUUACCUUCUAAUUAAGAAAUAAGUGCAGUGGUGGGGAGGAUUCCACUUUGAGUCUCAGCUUGGCUGUGAGACUCAGUGCAAGCCGUGUAGUGGGCUGUUAGAGUGGCUUGCUUGAUUCUGUUUCUUGUGUCAAACGUUUGUCAGUGGUGAUGAUGAAUAGUAGGGAAAAAUACUGAAUAAGCCCUAAGUGAUUAAUUAGAAUAUUAGUUUAGUAUUUCUGCUGCCAGACAGUCAUGCAGUCCCUGGCAUUACUGCAUAAGGUUUAAAAUGUUGAGAGAGGAAGAGGAAUUUCAAAUAUGUUUAUUCUUAUCCAGAUAAUCUCUGAAUUUAAACUCAAUAAAGCUUUUCACCAGAGUGAGAUGUUAACUAGCCAAUACUUUAUUCACACUUCAGUUAAACAACGUUUACCUCUGGUGAAAGGCACCCAAACUGUGCUACUCUGUGCUACCCUGUUUCUGUGGAAACUGUGUGUUGGAGUGGAAUAGGAAUAAUGGUGGAGAAAAGGAGAGCAGUAGCGUUUUGGCUGAAGUCCUGUUGGCCAGCCCCCGUUUCAGCUGGGAUAAGUCAGCCAAGCAAGGCCUCAGUGCUGGAGCCCCGACAGUUCUUUUUCCUCCUCCUCCUAACUUGUGCCGAGGGAGGAGUCUGCUUCACAGACACCAUUCAAAAAGUGCUUGCUAAAGCAAUUUAUCUGUAUUUUCCCCUGGUUUUUCAUGCAACAAGAAUUUUAGCCAGUCAGUAAUGUUAGUCAAUAGCUGCCUACACUGGUAGGGUAAGGUUUGUUCUGAAAAGAACUUCCAUUGACGCGUAUGUUGCUCAGCCACUGCUCUUCUAAAAAGCACCACUGUAUUCUUGGAAAGAAACUCUCCCAAAACUGAAAAGACACAUUUUUCAUCAUUCAGGGGUUUCCAAAAUAUGCAUAUGUUUGAUGGAUUGCCAGGAAAGACAGACAGCCUUGACCAGUAAACUCAGCUCUGUAUUCUCUCUUCUCUGGUAGCUGUUUCACUGACAUUCAUGUUGUUUUCUCC
ensembl:lncRNA